CAAAGAUAUUUGCUCCCUUAUUCAGAGCCCCGCAAGAAUUGUGUAUGUAUGGGGGUAUGCUUUACAUAGACGUAAACAUAUUCUCAACAUUAGCCUCCCUAUUGUGACUUAAAUGUACAUAUUCCAUACCAAUAAUUUUGAUAGAAAUAAACAUGCACAGCAUACCCUUCAAUAUUUAACAGAUCAGAAUGGGGAUAUGCAUGACCACAUCCGGUUAAGAAUAACAUGCAGGCUGGCAGAAGCUGUAGCCAUUUGCUUUUAGUCUGAGCCUAAAGAGAAAAGAAAAUUUCUCUCCCUCCUCUUCUCUCCCUCAUGUCGAGUUGGUUAUUUACAACAUCUUCUUGUACUAUGAACUUAGCCCUCAGCUAUUUUCUUUUACAUGAACAUACUGGGAAGGGAAAGAUUCUACUUACUGCUUCUCUCCUACUGUUGAGUUCAUUUUUGCCCUCAGUACUCAGUUUGAAGCAUUUAUGCCCCCGGUGGUGGAGCGGAUUAAACCGCAGAGUUGCUGAACUUGCUGACCGAAAGCUGAAAUGUAGAAGUCCCUGUGCUGCUGUCAACAUAAGACUGGGGAGCAGGAAGACCUGCAACCAUCAAGACGCUUGUCUCCCAGUCCAGCCGCCUCCAGAAAAUGAAAAUCAGAAAUCACUUGGUGACACACCUGUGAGCUAGUUGAGGUGCUCUGAGGCACAGAAAUAUAUAUCUUGUUGACUCACCCUUCAAAUACCAUGAAUUGUUUGUCUGGAUUGGGAAAAGUUUUUUAGGCAGUCAGUGGACUUGCAAGUGGGAGCAAAUGAGAGGAAGAGGACAAAGAAGAAUGCUUGCAGUACUUGGAGUCAACUGGGUAAGGUGUUAAAAGUCCACCCUGGACCUUCCACAGAUAUAUACACAUCCCUUGCUUAGUUUCCAAUAUACGUCACAACCUCUGAGAAUGCCUGCCAUAGAUGUGGGUGAAAUGCCAGGAGAGAAUGCUUGUGGAACAUGGCCAUACAGCCUGGAAAACUCACAGCAACCCAGUGAUUCUGGCCAUGAAAGCCUUUAACAACACACUGUUUUAGAAUUAAUUCAAAAUUAACUUAUGACAUUAUUGUAUACAACCUGCUGUCCUGUGACGACAUGCUGACUCCUUUCAAAUGGCCCCUGGCAUUACACCAUUGCAGUGCCUUAGCAGUGUGAAGCUACACUUCUGGGCAGGUGGCAUAGCUGUUCUCCUGCUCCUUUAUUAUUUUUAAAGGCACUGCAAUUGUGAAGUGCUGGGUAAAGCAUGUUUUCAUUUUUCCGCAGUGAAGGGAGAAGAGAGCAUGCUACCACAGAAGCACCCAGACUCACUGCACGAGCAAAAUCCUGUGGCCAUGGCCUAUUAAUAGUUCCUGAUAGUUUCAUUGCAGGCAGGGCCGGCCCCACCAUAGAGGCCAGUGACGCCGCCGCCUCGGGCGCAGGUCCCGGGGGGCGCCGUCAGGCUGGGCGGGAGGCCCGCCGCCCGAC